rnacentral:rRNA from 1 species
AGUGAACGCUGGCGGCAGGCCUAACACAUGCAAGUCGAACGAGUGGCGCACGGGUGAGAAACACAUCGGAAUAUACUCUGUAGUGGGGGAUAACGUAGGGAAACUAACGCUAAUACCGCAUAGUAUUGAAUGAGCCGAUGGCGGAUUAGCAAGUUGGCGGGGUAAAGGCCCACCAAGGCGACGAUCCGUAGCUGGUCUGAGAGGAUGAUCAGCCACACUGGAACUGAGACACGGUCCAGACUCCUACGGGAGGCAGCAGUGGGGAAUAUUGGACAAUGGGCGAAAGCCUGAUCCAGCCAUGCCGCGUGUGUGAAGAAGGUCUUCGGAUUGUAAAGCACUUUAAGUUGGUAGGCGUUACCUACAGAAUAAGCACCGGCUAACUUCGUGCCAGCAGCCGCGGUAAUUC